UGGUACUAUGGAGAAAAGAAAAUUGAAAACGGAGAAAAUGAAGAAACAGCGCAUUCUUAUUUUGCAGAAUCAACUUACGUUCGCAGUCCAAAGCCUGAAUCAGUACGGUUCAGCGUGGGACAGGUAAUAAUUCAUAAAAGACUUGGCUACUCAGGAGUCAUUGUUGGAUGGGAUGUAAAAGCGAAAGCUCCAGCAGAAUGGCUACAAAACAAAUACCCUCCAGCAAAACAGUAUCUAAAAGAUACUCCUCACUAUCGAAUUCUAAUUAACAAGGCAAAUGAAUUUGGCAAAUCUACGGCUUACAUUCCUGAGGAGGAGAUUACAAUUAUUAUGGGAUUACAGGUAAUAUUUCUUUUUUAUUUAACUGCAACAUGUUUGUUAUCCUGCAUGUUUGAAAGCUGGCUGACC